rnacentral:lncRNA from 1 species
AAAACUAAAGCCAAUAGGUGAAUUUUUUUUUUCCCUAUCAGAUGGAAAUCCAAUGGUGAGGUGCGGCUCUCAUGAUCUAAUCAUUUCAAGCCUCUGAUGAGUAGGGUGCCCAGUAUCUGGGUCCUGCUGGAUGCCUCUCUUAAAGCCUUCUGCCAACAUGGUGGUGCCACUAAUUUUUGAGAACAUUCUUGCCUUGUCUAACACAUGAACUGUGGGGAGACACCUCGUACUCAACCAGAACAGAUUGAAAGGAAAACAAAGCAGCGAGAGAUGAUGGGACAGAGAGGGACAGGGCGCUGCUUCAGAAGGGCCAUCUGAGGAGGAGGAUCACGUGGAGACCUGUGUGGAAUGAGGUCGGGGGAGCCACAAGGCUGCAGGGAAGUGAGCAAGGGGAGGGGUGGGAAGCAAGGCCUGAAUUGGGGUCCCAGACAGCUCUGCUGCAGAUUUGAUAGUGUUUUCUUCUAGGAAUGAAAGGACAAUCACUGGAGGGUGUCUCGGGUAGAGGGAAAAUUCCAGGCGAAGUCUUUUAAUACCAACAGAGAAACCUGGACAAGAGACUACCUGUUCCCACUGUGCUCUCCAAAGGCUGAUGUACCAUGCCUCUCCUGGGCACUAUGGCUGUGGCCACCUGAAGAAGAGACCACAGGGGAAGACCACCGUGGCCAGGAGGAGGACAGGAUGGAGAAGCUGAGGCUCAAACUGCUGAUCAGAUAGAAUGAAGAUGUAAAAAGAGGCCUGUCCCACAUCUGGACAAUGUUCUUAAUCAACAUUCAUUAUCUAUUCAAUUUAUUCAAUAAAUACUGACUGUGUGGCAGCAAAACUGAAGGAGCCCUUUGUAGUUUGAGGCUUGUAGGUGCUUUCUUCAAUCUAGUUUUUUUUGGGGGGGGAGGUGGCAGGUGUACUGGGGAUUGAACUCAGAGGCACUCAACCGCUGAGCCACAUCCUCAGCCCUAUUUUGUAUUUUAUUUAGAGACAGGGUCUCACUGAGUUGCUUAGCACCUUGCUGUUGCUGAGACUGGAUUUGAACUUGUGAUCCUCCUGCUUCAGCCUCCCAAGUUGCUAGGAUUACAGAUGUGUGCUACUGUGCCCUGCUUCAAUCUAGUUAUUAUUUAUGGAUGAAGAUGAUAAAGAAAUGGAUCCUAUUAAGCACCAUGUAUAUUUUGUCUUGUUUAAUUGGAGAACUCUACAAAUAAUUUACAUCAGCUGAAUUUUUAAACUUUACAUUUAAUGAAGAGUUAGGUAUGGACUAUUUUCCCAACUGGCUACACAGGUCAUCUCCAUCUACUCUGUUUAGAUAAAUAUUUCUUUUGGAUUCUGAUUUUACCCAAUUCAGGAACAUUAAAUGUGUCAACAAACUCUGAAACAAGGCUAACAUAACGUAAAUGUCAAGUUUCUUGGAUUUGUUGCAAGCUGUAUAAAACAAAACAGUAAUGAGCAUUAAGAAAA